rfam:Polaribacter sp. MED152, complete genome.
UAAUUAGAGGAAAAAUUUGAACUGAUUGCAACCUCAUUAAAAAAAUGCUAAAGCAGUAAUU